rnacentral:rRNA from 1 species
GGGGUUUGAAACGUUUAAGCGACCUGCGACGGCUCAUUACAACAGAUAUAAUCUACUUGUUCUAUGACUUAAAUGGAUAACUGCGGUAAUUCUGGAGCCAAUACAUGCGAACAGCUGCGGCCUUCGGGUUGCAGUGCUAUUAUUGGAGCAAAACUAUUCGUUAGUCCUUUUGCUAACUCUGGAUAAUACUGCGUAUCGCACGAUCUUGUGUCGGCGAAGUUUCAUUCGAGUAUCUGCCCUAUCAACUGGUUGGCAGUGUAUUGGACUGCCAUGGUUCUAACGGGUAACGGAGAAUCAGGGUUUGACUCCGGAGAAUCCGCCUUAAAAACGGCGAAUAUGUCUAAGGAUAGCAGCAGGCGCGAAAAUUACCCAAUAUCAAUACGAUGAGGUAGUGACGAGAAAUAACGAGUCCGUUCUCUCUGAGGUCGGACAUUGGAAUGGGUACAAUGUAGACAAUUUAACGAGUAUCUACGAGAGGGCAAGUCUGGUGCCAGCAGCCGCGGUAAUUCCAGCUCUCGUAAUACAUAGAAUUAUUGUUGCGGUUAAAAAGUUCAUAGUUGGAUUGUUGAACCGUUCGGGGUGCGUCUUAACGGGCGUCACUCGUGGGCGGUAUUUUGCGCGUUUUCGGGCCUUCGGGUCGGUGAUGCGCAGGAUUACUUUGAACGGCUUAAGUGCUCAAGGCGGGUCUUACGACUGAAUACCGGUGCAUGGAAUAAUGGAACAAGGUUGCGGCGAGUUUUAUUGGUUUUGUCGGCUGAAACAAUGGUUAACAGGAACAGCGGGGGCAUUCGUAUCGCUGCGCGAGAGGUGAAAUUCGAGGACCGUAGCGAGACGCACUAAAGCGAAGGCAUUUGCCAGAGUGUUUUCAUUAAUCAAGAACGAAAGUCAGAGGUUCGAAGGCGAUUAGAUACCGCCCUAGUC